AAGACUAUAGACCUGCGGAGUACCUGCGGAAGGAUCAUUACUGAGUACCGGGUCUCUCAGGCCCUUACUCCCACCCUUUGUUUACCUUACCAUAUUUCAGUUGCUUUGGUGGGGCUUUUUUGUUCACAAAAAAACUCACCAUUGGAACUUUUUUAAAACUCUUGAUAAUUGAGUUGUCUGAGAACAAAAACAAAUAAAUUAAAACUUUCAGCAACGGAUCUCUAGAUCGGAAGAGCACAC
rnacentral:misc_RNA from 1 species